GAUUUCUGAUGUGACAGGCUUGGCCCACCGUGGUUACACGUGUGAGUGCCGGGUGUUGUCCGUCUGUCUUCCUGUUGAUCGCCGCCCUCUUCACUGAGUGGUGGUUGUAUUGUACAGGAUCUUUUACUUUGAAAAAAUUAGAGUGUUUAAAGCAGGCUUUUGCUAUGAAUACAUUAGCAUGGAAUAAUAAUCUAGGACUUCGGUUCUAUUUUGUUGGUUUCUAUAACUGAAGUAAUGAUUGAUAGGGACAGUUGGGGGUGCUAGUAUUGGCCGGCCAGAGGUGAAAUUCUUGGAUUCGGUCAAGACUAACUUAUGCGAAAGCAUU
rnacentral:rRNA from 1 species